rnacentral:rRNA from 8 species
GAGUUUGAUCUUGGCUCAGAUUGAACGCUGGCGGCAUGCCUUACACAUGCAAGUCGAACGGCAGCACGGGAGCUUGCUCCUGGUGGCGAGUGGCGAACGGGUGAGUAAUGCAUCGGAACGUAUCCUGGAGUGGGGGAUAACGUAGCGAAAGUUACGCUAAUACCGCAUAUUCUGUGAGCAGGAAAGCGGGGGACCUUCGGGCCUCGCGCUCUUGGAGCGGCCGAUGUCGGAUUAGCUAGUUGGUGAGGUAAAGGCUCACCAAGGCGACGAUCCGUAGCAGGUCUGAGAGGAUGAUCUGCCACACUGGAACUGAGACACGGUCCAGACUCCUACGGGAGGCAGCAGUGGGAAUUUUGGACAAUGGGGGCAACCCUGAUCCAGCCAUGCCGCGUGAGUGAAGAAGGCCUCGGUUGUAAG